UGACUUCAGACAGCACCGUAUCCCAGCAUGCAUCUCUGCUCACUCAGACCACACCCGCAUGAGUAGGAUGCAACACUCUAGUGAUGGAGAUGUAGAGUUUUAUAAGUAACGAGGGAGCAGACUAAGGUGGUUAGAACACAAUGGAAUGUCAAGUCUGUAAAUCUUUAUACCAUGAAGAUGAUUGGAUAGGGCUCUUUUUAUUAUGGGCAGUCCUUUCACUCAGAUGCCCACUUCUCACUGGAGCUGUACAUGUGUUUGCUGGCUGGCAUUAUUUGCUGUUGGUGAUGAGGCGGUCAGGGUGACGUUGCAGGGCUAUGGUCGGCUCUCUGUGAGCUCAACGUUUAGAUUUGCUCUGUAUGGUUUGUACCCUGAAUAAUCUAUAUAAUUGUAAAAUGUAGACACGGUUUUGUAUUGAAUGAUUCCCGGAUUUUAGGUUUAAAGUUGUUGUGGGACGUACAUGGUAGUUUGGUUCUUCGUAUGGUUUUGAGUGAUAUAACUUGUACACACUGGGUGCAUAAUAAUGUAAAGGUACACUGAAUAGUAGUAAUGACCAACAGCGACAAACGGAUCUCUUCAAGGUAAGUCUGUUGGCUGUUUUUUAAUGAAGACCAUCGCUGGACUUCAGGAUCUUCCUCCAUUCAGCUCAAGGUGAGGCGCUGGUUCUGUUUUUUCUUUGGUUGGUUCCGGCUGGAAUGUUCGGAUUCCAGUCGGACGGUUUGUGCUUCCCACCGUGGAAGGUUCUGAGUGAGGUAACUUGAUUUAGUCCCAAUGGUUAGCAUAGAACGUUGUAGUCUUGACAACCAUAAGAUACCACCUGGCAGUUAGUUUGAAGGGAGUCCCCUGAGGGAAUCUGGCGGAACGUUCUGGAUUGUAUUUGCGUAACCUCGAGCCGUUGCCAACGGAAACUAUUUUUCAGUCGGUUUCCAUUGGGAAUUGUUGCCCCUAUCUUAAACAACUAAAGUUUGAUAUUAAAUACAUACUGAGAAGUACGUUGUACAAUAUAUUGAUAAUUUCCGAUGGUUGCGCCGUUCUUUUAACCACAAUGAAGUUGCGGGACUCUCACCGCGUACAAAACAGCGUUCUACUUGCGGGCCCAUUUUUGACAUCAGGGAAGGCUGAAAAUCAUUUUGAGGUGGAAGAUAAUUUGACAUUUCUUCAACGGAACCCAGCACCUGAAUAUGGCUGAGUAUAUUUGAUUUAAUAUCGAUACUGCUUAGUGUUCUUUGUUACUUCAGCUUUUGUACGUUCUAAAUAUCUGCUGUCAUUAAUUGCAACAGAAGUUAAACCCUACCCAAUGGAAUGACGUUAAACAACGACUUUGGUGCAGAGUUACCAACUGGAUAAUAUCAAAGCUAAAAUAAUGGCCGUCAUUCCCACAUGUUACAGUAGAAUAUAAGCGUCUUAGAGUACCAUAUUAAGCGCUAUAUAAAUUUCAUUUAUUAUUAUUAUUAGAAGAUACUGUAGAACUGUACAAGGUUAAAAAGGUAACAUGUAGUUUGUCCCAAGGUGUCUGCCUCCUCACCCAGAGCAAGACGUCCACCUCCUCACCCAGAGCCAGACCGCCACCUCCUGUCAGAAGUCCUACAGAACAGCUGAAAGGCGAGGCUGAGAGGCUGGGGACCGGAGGCUUGUGGUGCCAGGGUGGACCGGAGACUGAGGCUGGAGACCAGGGACCUGCAGCACCGGACCAGAGGACCAGGAUGAAGAAGCAGAUGGAGGAGCCGUGCUGAAGGCCCUGGGCUGGUGGAGGGCCUGCCUGGUGAAUGACGUCUGUCGUGGGACCAGGACUCUGUCUGAGGAGAGCUGCUGGAGGAGCUGAGACCCUGGAGGACGACUAGGAAUCGACCAACAAGGAUUCCUCAACGUGUUUCUGGAGCGGAGGCGAGCUGGUAGGGGAGUCCUGAAUCUGGAGGAUGACCAUCACUCUACCAACAAGGAUUACUUUAGGGCCAGAUCCGCGCUGUUUGUUCCAGAACAGGACUCUGGCUGAGGAGAGCUGAUGGAGGAGCCAAGACUCUGGCGGACGACUUCACUCCACCAACCAGGAUCCUCAGACAAAUUACGUUUGUAACCAGACCAGGAAUCUGGACGACUGAUGGAGAAGCCAUACAUCUGGAAGGCAAAUCCUGAGGACCACCAGGACUCUACCAUCAAGGAUUCCUCAUAAAUGUGCAUUAUCUGGACAUAGUGGACUAGACACACCUGAGCUGAACCUCACCUGAUCCUGUUUGGUCGGGGGUAGACACACCUGAGCUAAACCCGCCCUGAUCCUGACAUCCUGCUGGUCCUGUCUCCUCAGUUCAUCCGAGCCUCGUCCUCCAGAAGACCUGCUGAGCUCAGAAGUCUGAGGCUGAUGGAUCAAUGACCUCCAGUGGGAGUGAUCUUCUUGACCUCACAUGUAACCGUGUGCUUCCACACGCCUUUUCCUCACGUCUGUCACUAACCUCACUGCUUCACUACUCUCUACUGCUUCCUCUUUUCUUCCUUCUCUGUGGUUCAAACCUUUACACUGAAGGCGCGUCUUCCUGCCCUCAGAGGGUUUAGCGUUAGGGUUGAGAGUCAGGGUUUAGAGUCAGGGACAGAGCUGGUCAGGGAGGACUGCUUUUACACAAACCUUCACUUGCUUUCGGAAUGGUGGUGACAUUUUGAAAAGAUUCAUUUUGGAAAAUAGUUUUCCUCUGCUUUCCUUUACAAAUUGUUUUAAACUUCUGUCAAGUGUUUUUGUUUAUAUAUUAAAAUCCCACAUUGACUUCUACAUGUUU